AACAUACUUCCUCCGUUCGGAAAUACUUGUCAUCAGAAUGAGUAAAAGGGAAUGUAUCUAAUCGUUUAUUAAAUUAUAGAUACAUCCAUUUUUAUUCAUUUUGAUGACAAGUAUUUUUGAAGGGAGGGAGUAUCUA
rfam:Triticum aestivum genome assembly, contig: Triticum_aestivum_CS42_TGACv1_scaffold_580765_7BL